ACCUGGGUGGCUCAGUUGGUUGAGCAUCUGACUUCAGCUCAGGUCAUCAUCUCACGGUUUGUGAGUUCAAGCCCCACAUCAGGCU
rnacentral:tRNA from 1 species